rnacentral:rRNA from 1 species
AGUAAUACAUCGGAACGUGCCUAGUAGUGGGGGAUAACUACUCGAAAGAGUAGCUAAUACCGCAUGAGAUCUACGGAUGAAAGCAGGGGACCUUCGGGCCUUGUGCUACUAGAGCGGCUGAUGGCAGAUUAGGUAGUUGGUGGGGUAAAGGCUUACCAAGCCUGCGAUCUGUAGCUGGUCUGAGAGGACGACCAGCCACACUGGGACUGAGACACGGCCCAG